AUUGAACGCUGGCGGCAGGCCUAACACAUGCAAGUCGAGCGAGCGGCGGACGGGUGAGUAAUGUAUGGGGACUGCCCGAUAGAGGGGGAUAACUACUGGAAACGGUAGCUAAUACCGCAUACUAUCGGAUAACCCAUAUGGGAUUAGCUAGUAGGUGAGGUAAUGGCUCACCUAGGCGACGAUCCCUAGCUGGGCUGUGGGGAUGAUCAGCCACACUGUGACUGAUACACGGCCCAGACUCCGAGGUGGGAAGCAGUGGGGAAAAUUGCACAAUGGGCGCAAGCCUGAUGCAGCCAUGCCGCGUGUAGGAAGAAGGCCCUAGGGUUGUAAAGUACUUUCAGUCGGGAGGCGUUACCGACAGAAGAAGCACCGGCUAACUCCGUGCCAGCAGCCGCGGUAAUAC
rnacentral:rRNA from 1 species